GUAGGGUGCGAGCGUUAAUCGGAAUUACUGGGCGUAAAGCGUGCGCAGGCGGCUUUUUAAGCCAGAUGUGAAAUCCCCGGGCUUAACCUGGGAACUGCAUUUGGAACUGGAAGGCUAGAGUGUAGCAGAGGGGGGUAGAAUUCCACGUGUAGCAGUGAAAUGCGUAGAGAUGUGGAGGAAUACCGAUGGCGAAGGCAGCCCCCUGGGCUAACACUGACGCUCAUGCACGAAAGCGUGGGGAGCAAACAGGAUUAGAUACCCUGGUAGUCCACGCCCUAAACGAUGUCAACUAGGUGUUGGGGAAGGAGACUUCUUUAGUACCGCAGCUAACGCGUGAAGUUGACCGCCUGGGGAGUACGGUCGCAAGAUUA
rnacentral:rRNA from 1 species